CGUAGCUCAGCUGGUUAGAGCACAUCACUCAUAAUGAUGGGGUCACAGGUUCGAAUCCCGUCG
rnacentral:tRNA from 2 species